UGUCAGGGGUGCUAUUUGGCUGAGAUGGGAUGUUUCCCGAACCCUUUACCUGAUACGGAUAAUGCCGUCGUAGGGAGAUCA
rnacentral:ncRNA from 1 species